rnacentral:rRNA from 1 species
CCUUUGUACACACCGCCCGUCGCUACUACCGAUUGAAUGAUUCAGUGAGGCUUUCGGACUGGCCUAGGACGAGUGGCAACACUCAUCUCGGGACGGAAAGUUGUCCAAACUUGGUCAUUUAGAGG